UGUCCCUGCAGAAUCUGUGGGAGAGCCUGCACCGCGCUAAGGGCUUGUGCCAGGCACGCAAAGGCAAGCUGUGCAGCGACAGAGGCAAAGCAGGCAGCGUGCAGCAUGUGCCACUCCUCUCCACGGGCAGACGGGUCUGCGGGGUCUGCGAGGAGGAAUGGCAAAUGAAACGCAGGUGGGAAGAUGGAGGCACAACCCCCUGCCCAGACACCAAAGCCCAAAGGCUGCUUGUGGCUGUCAGUGCCUUAGGAAGAGUAAUAGCAUCGCUCUGACAACCCCUCUGCUGAAAUGGGGUGGAGGGAGUUUCUUCACACGAGCUGGUAAUGAGGGCAUCCAAGGAGAAGGAGACGCUUCUGGUCUUGUGACCUAUCUCUGCAUCCUCGGAGACAUCAUGGCUAAAUCCACGUGGCAUGACUGCCAGCCUCAGCCUGAAGUUAACACCAGCAAACUCAUUCUCAGCUCAGCAGUUGGUCCUUAAACACGAACUUUAAAGCUGCACGGGUGGGUAAAUACUGCAGGAAACCAAGGGCCUCAGACAGAUCCUUUUAUAGGAGAAACUGCUGAGACGUUUCAUUGUUGUUUUUUUUUUCUUUACCAACCAUUCUGUUAACUUUGGUCCUCUGCACUAGACUGAUCGGUGUCAGAGCUGGCCAAGUGCAGGGUUUCUCUGCUUGGACAAUAGCCUGGCAGAAUACCAUGGAGAGCUAUUAAGAACUUUGGAUAGUAAAGGCUUGGCUACGAAUUCCUGUUUAAACCAAGGCUCAUGUUCAUCAGAAUUGUUGCCUGCUAAGCUUUUCUCAUUGGGGUGGGAAUGGAGCAAAGGGAGGAAAGAGCAAAAGUGGCACUAGGUAUGUGCUCUGUGAAGGCACAGUGGUGUCCUCAGUGGUUUGUCCUUACCGUGUCUCCUCUCCCCACUGUCUUGUCGCUCUGCUUUUCUACUUUGCCCACCUUACCAGGGCCUGCAUGAAUGAACUGAUCUCACUCUCAAACAGGAAACAAGAAAUAAAGAAUUACAGCACCAUACACACUACUAUAAAGCAUCACCGCAUCACGACUGCAGUCUUGUUCCUGUAGACCGCAUAGCGCCAUGGCUGUUACAAAAACAAACAAAAUUUAUGCUCCCUAAGAAAAGGUUCUUGAAAGGCACAUCCACCCCAUGAAGACCUUUUUACAUUUUCAAAGGGAAAAAAAAAAUGUGGCUGAGAAUCAACUAUUUAAGCCCAUAGCAACAGCAGGGUAUUUUUGUUUGGAGAGGUGUAGGCGACAGGGAAGAAGCAUAGCUAUUUUCCUCCCAGGGUAUAUUCUGUAUCUGGGUUUUGCUAGUCCAAAGUGACUUCUGCAGUCUUUUACCAAGCUUUAUCAGGCUAAUGCCUGGAGAUAUGAGCUCCUGUUAGCAUGAUGCAACCAGACUGAAGUGCCACCCCAGGCCAGCUUUCCCCUUGCAGCCACAUUGUUGGAUAUGAUGCCCACCGUGGUGGUAGAGGACCAUGCAGUUGCCAAACAACAGGUUAAUAUUGUGGUGUGCUCAUAGGGGUGGCUGAGGUCAUGCAAUGCCCAGUGUUACUCCACUUCUUGAGUUGCAGACUGUUGUCUCCUAAGAAAAUUCCUUUUUACUGAGUAAUUAAUACAAAGCCUCAGUGCAGCCUAAACUAGUUGUCAUGGCAUCACUUGUUUGUUGUUGUGUUUUUUAUUUUUGUUUGUUUUUGUUUCCCCCUUCCCCCCCCCAGAAUAUAUCUGAAUAAUUGGGAUUUGGUCUAUGACAGAGACAGGAAUGGGAAACAUAUUUGCCCACCCAAGCUUCAGAGAAAGCUUAUGAAUGAUGUACCAAAUAUUAGUCAAGUAGCAGUUUGAGUCACACCUGGCACCACGGCACAGCUGACUCAAGAAGCAGUCCUCUGGGACACUACGCAAGGAUAAAUGAAAAUAGAGAGAAACUCUGGCAGUGAAAUCUCCUUUCUUCUCUUUGUUUCUUUGGGAUGUUGUCCGCUGCAUUACUGGAGGAGAUACUGCUUGGUCUAAGUACAAGAGACCUCUUGCUCCCAACCCCCAAAGUAAAUCCCAAAGUCAUUUUCAAACCAAGACAGCUAUCAAGAUGGGACUUGUGGUUCAUAUUCUUUCUCCCACUGUUACUGUCCAACGUCCCGAGACAGCUGCUAGCCCAAAAUCAUCAAACCAGAACUUACACUGGAAUAAGAAGUGGGGUGACGGGGAGGAAGUUCGGAUCUUCCAUUUCACCCUGCUCCUUGACCACAGACAUAGCAGAGGGCUAUGCAGGUCUGCGUUCAGAUGACUGGCUGAAUAAUUUCAUUAUACAGCAUCUUCCCUAGCCUCCCACAAGGCGUCAUUUGUCUGUCAAGGAAGGAAACAUCAUCCCUCCUCAAUGAAGGGCCUUCGAUUUGCUUGAAGAACUGCUUUUAUUAUAUACAAUUAGUGGAGGGCUGACAGUGUGUUUGGACAAGGUACAAGACACAAAGGAUAAACAGUCCCUGCUCCACAGAGACCAAGACAACUUUGUUGAGCCAGCUUGUUCUUGCCAGUGAGGCCUGCACCAUGACCUUUUCCCAGUGAGGUGUAAUGUGCUCCAGGAAAGGCCAUUCGCUUCAGCAACAGACAGGCUUUGGCUCAUUUGCUUCCAAAUGCUAUCUAUGUCCUGUUGCUCAAGGUUUCAUUUGGGACUUCCCACAGCUCACCUUCCAACUCUACAAUAACUAAAUAAGCCCUCUCACAAGACAGUGACCAGAGCUCCAAUUCCCAGGCAUACUCAAGUUUUGGAGAGAUUCUAGUCCAGAUCUUUACAGCUCAGCACCAUUUCCAGCCAUGGGAUGUUACCUCUUCUUAGACCAACUUUUAGCAAAACCUUCUUGCAUUGAGCUUCCGAGAUGUUGGCUGUCAACAUGCAGACAUGAAAAUCAGCCUCCCCCCUCCCUCCUCCUUCCUUCCCUGCCUCACUGUCCUACUGCAGAGUCUCUUGGGCUCCUGCCACAUGGAGCUAAUCCCAUAAAGACAAUCAAGCUCUCUCUGCCAGACUGAUAUUGAUCACCUCCCUUCACGUGGACCCCCCACAAGUAACAUAAUUUUCCAGUAUAUAUCCCCACCCCUGAUCCUGAACCAUUUCAUUGCCAAGACAUCACACAGCGCUCCUAAAGUCAUCCUAUAUUCUCUCUUUCCCUUUAGUAAAUUAGACCCUUUCUUUUUUACAAGCAAUAUAAGCAGCUAUGAGUAUAAGAUGUUUCCCUCUCCUCCCCCCACCUCCACCUACAUGGCACGAAAUCUCAGGCUGUAUUUCGCAGACUCGAUUUGAAGUAAGUUUCUUACUGCUGGCAGAAUCUGCCUCCGCGCCCUUCCUGCUCAUUCGGUGAGUGACACUAAUCAGCAGUGUGGGAGGUAGGGACAAUAUCAAGCAUCGAAGGGGAUUGACAAGCCUCACUCAGAAUUUACACGUACCCCAAUAGGUAUGUGAGGGUGAAAUAAAGUGGUUCUAUCAAUCUCUUUGUAUCACUGCCUAUUGCUGGCUGCAGCUCUUCGUUGAAAUUAGUGGUUCACUGAGCGGAGAGGAAUAAACAAGGAAAAAUUUUCCCCCAAAGCCCUAUUUGGUGAGGGUUUUAGUUGUGUCAGCCUCCCUCCCCAAGCAAAUGCCUCCAAAUUAUUAACAAUAUGUAAUCGACAUGAAAUAUCAGGCCCUGCUGGGCAGGGAAAGAUACUUUGAAUUAUCUCAGCAGGAGGGUUGGCACUAAUUUAUUGCUGUUGUGCUUCAAGUACUUCUGAUGCAAAAGAUGAAUGGAGCUGAAAGUUUGUAACUUGACUUGUUCAACUACAUUUAGUCGUCUUGUGUAGCAUCAGCAGGGUAAUGUGAAUUGGCAUGAGACCCUUGAAGCAGCCUAGUCCUUCACUCCUUGUUUUCUUUUUAAGCAUUCUUCCUUCCCUCCUCCUUACCACUUCUUUUCCCAGUCAAGAGACCUAGAUGUAGAAAUGUACUUGCUGUUUCUCCGCAGUCCCUUCCAAAAGGAUGAGUUUCAUGCCUAUUCUAGGUUUUUUGUUUUGUUUUGUUUUUCCUGUGAAUUUGUCAGUGGACCAUUUUGUAAAGAGAGGUAGAGCUGAAGAAAGCAUCCACAGCUCUGUUGAAGAGACGAGAAGGAUGAUGAUGUUUCACAUGAUGGGCAGAUUACAGCAGAGGUAUUUACAGACUUGCUCUUUCUCUGGCAGUGAAACCAACUGGAAUGGAAAGGUCUGCAGACACUCUGUUAAACCUCAUUACCCUCCAGAAGUGGGUGGCUUCCUGCAAGCUCCUUAUUAAGAAUUGUUCCUUGCCUGGGCUAAACUCCAGAUGGCUUGAGGGAAUUGUCUGGGGGAACCCUCUUGUUGUGGGCCAAAACUGUGACAGUGAAUUUACAGUUUAACAGAAUGGGUGAUUCAAUUCCAGAACCUACGAACCAUUUAAUUUAUUAAAAUAGUCAUGUCCAAGGUGCCUCUUGCCUUUGAGCGUUUGAUUUUGCAAACCUGCUAACAAAAUCUCCUCCUCAAACCCCUGCGUUGGGGUGAGAGGUGACAGUGGACCUGGGAAGAAGGAAGAUGGAGGCAGUAUAUGCCCUGCUGGAGGGCAGCAAAAACCAUCAGCAGCCAGGAAUCUCCCAAACAGUUGGUCCCCAUCUGCCAUUCUGAGGCUUGUGUUGCUUCACCUCCUUGCAGGAAGACACCCAAGAGACUGCAACUGCCCAUGUGGGAACCUCUCCAGCUUUCUUUGUGGCUUCUCUUUCUUAGUCUCCUCCUUUGUGAAGGUGCAUUUACUGUUCCUGUGGGGAGGCAGGAGCUGGGAAGCUGUGCUCUCCAGGCUAGGGGGAGAAGUCAAGACAUCUAGCUGAU